GGAGUGAGUGGGGGGGAUUGUGAAGUGUCAUUAAUUUCAGAGGCACAUUUGCAUAAACUUAAUCUGUUCCCCAAAAUGUGACCCUUGAGAUAAACAACAGUCUUGGCUUUGGGUCACGUUUUUAAGAUGCACAAAAGUCUGACAUGCAAGUUAAUUAAAAAUCCAACAAAUGAGAUGUCAACUCAAGCCUGUUCAUUUUGUUUGGGCUCCAAAUGUACAACAUGUGAAAACCAAAAAAUCCCUGAUGAGCAUGAUCUACAAGUUAAGGGGAAGGAUUUUUUUUUUUUCCCCCAAUCAACAUCUAAACAGAAUAAAAAACUUGGGGACAUUACACCAACAUGUAUUACAGUAGAUGCAAAUCUGUCAAAUGUAAGUGUCAUGCAAAAAUAAUGGGAUAGUUAAUUUGCAAAUAUUAUAAUGGACUCCACCCUUACAUAAUUUAUACAUUUACAAACUAAAUAAGCUUCUUAUUCAACGCUGAAGGUUUGCAAGUUGCAGGACUUUGCUUUACAACAGAUAGAUGAAAUGCGUGGCUGCCUGGCCAGAUAGCAUGCUACAGUAGCAUCUGUGCUAUAGUGUUAGCACCGCCUAGCAGCAAAGCAAAGCACAGCAGCUAGAUGGUAGAAAUGCAGAGAGACUAGGCCUCAAAACUGAAAGGCCAGGCUUUUUACGUGUAAAUAAACCACAAAUAACCAACAUGCAUGAUUUAAACCAAGUGAAAAAUACAGUUUCCUAUCAUAUACACUAAAGACAAACGACUAAUUAGUCUGCAGGCAUUGAUUAUGUCGAUGAAGCUAACAGCUGGAUUGGUGCAAGUCGACGCAAAUGCAUGCUAAGCUUGCAUGCAAACACCAGAGACAUAGCACAGGGUUUGUUUAGCCAAAUAUCACUUCACACACCAACAGGAAGCCUGGGUGGCUUUGGACUAUCUUACAGCGAAGCACCACCACCACCACCACAAACUCCAGCUCUUCUCUCUCAAAAUGCCAGACUCUAACGAAGCUGCACCAGCACCAUGCCAGGUUAUCAAAGAGGAUGUUGACAAAUGUAUCAGAGAGAAGGGAGCAGAGGCCUGUAAAGAUCUCAUAGAUGCCUUCCAGGCCUGCACAAAGACGCUGUCUGAGGGAUCAUGAUACACACGGAAGCACAUCGUAAUAAAAUCUUCACUUUAUCAAAGUCCUCCACUUUCCCGGCAUUCCCUCCGUUGCUUAUUGCGCUGGGCCGAACCAUCUGAAGAACUGAAGCGGGGGGUGAUGAUACUGAGCUUCUGAUACUGUAAAGUCAAUGUGAAACUUUGUCUUCAUAAAUGUUAUAACUCCAUUAUGCACUCUACUAUAACACAGAUUACCUAUGCAUUGUAACAUUUCAUACAAUAAAUGUAAAGCUUGUCUAUUUA